UUUUUUUAACAUUUAUGGCCUGGAUGCGAGUCCUUUAAGCCAAGUCUUUGUUUUGUUCAAAACACAUUAUUUAAAGAGUUGUAUGUCAGAGAAUGCACUUUUGUUAAAACUUAAAACACUUCACUUUAAAUCUUCAACACUGUGUUUUUAAUAUACUUGUAUAAAUGAAAAUCUGGCUAAGUGCGCUGGUGCACAGUUGUGACCAAACCGCAAUCUAUUGAUGGUGGUAAUAAAGCUACGACUUCCCGUCUUAAUCUUCUCAUACCAAGGCUUUCCAGGGCUUCAAAUACAGCAUAUGCUUCAGCCGUAAAUAUGGAACAUACAUGAUGCAACCUAAAGCUCUGUACAAAUUUAGUUUGAGGAUCAUAUACUGCACUUCGAACAUGGGAAUCUGCUUUACUACCAUCGGUGUAUAAUUUGUAAUAAUCGGGAAUUUGUGACAAGAAACAUAGAAAAUCAGUAUUAUUAUUGAUAGAUUUUGUGCAUACUGUAAUGUUUAAAAGUUUACUAUCAAAGCUAUCUUCAUAACAUGGCCAAA